AAACAGCGACUGCAUUCAUGGAAAAAACCUACUGUCAGCCAGGUCGUUCUCAGGAGCAAGUGGAGUCAGCCCGUGCUCAAUUUGACCACUGCGAUUGGAAGCAGACGACCGAUGACGACAUCAGACUACUUUCAGCUCCCCCCAGUCUUAGCGAAAUCAUGCUUAAACUAGGUAAAGCUGCUAACACUGCUCCAUGAAGGGAUGGUCUUGAAUAUCGCCACCUCCGGUCUGUUGACGGUAAUGGCGAGCUCCUAGCAACCAUUUACCGGGCGGUGUGGUCUCUGGGUAUCCCAGCCUGCUGGAAAACAUCUCGAACCGUCCCUAUCUUCAAGAAAGGAGAUCCCUCUGAUUAUGGGAACUUCAGGCCAAUAUUCUUACUACCAACCAUGUACAAGAUAUUUUCGGGUAUAAUAUCGUCAAUAAUGGCCACCGCCACGAGACUAGGAUGGAUUUCUCCAGAACAAAAGGGAUUCCUUCCAGGAGUUAGGGGUAUCCAAGAGCACACCCAUAUACUCCACACUGUGAUCGAGCAGGCGAAACAGUCGAAAAGGGAGCUGGUGAUUGCUUGGCUCGAUCUCACUAACGCAUUCGAAUCAAUAUCUCAUCCGACAACAUCAUGGACUUUGCCGCCGGACAAGACUCAGUCCAAAUUCGUCCAACAGCCGGAGUCCGACAAGGAGAUCCAUUAAGCAGCGUUGUCUUCAAUCUGGCAGCAGAACCGAUCAUUAGAACAGUAAAAUCAAACAACAACGGGUUCGCAGUCUACCAGUCAAGAGUGUCCACCACUACCUACGCAGACAACAUUGCCAUCGCAGGAUCUUCAGUCCGCAAAAUCCAGGGAACUCUCAAUGCCACCGAGAACACGGCAACCUCACUCGGCUUGAAAUUAAAUCCCAGCAAAUGCACGUCACUCACACUCAUUAAUGGCAAAUCUUCUGUAGAUAACCCUCUGAGACUUGGAGACUCCCAAAUAUGGGCCCUAGCCGAGGACAAACAGGAAAGCUAUCUAGGGACUCCACUAGGCUCACGACUAACCUUCCAACCCACCACAUCACUUCUCGGAAACUUGAUUAAGAUUGGCAACUCCGGCUUGGCUCCUUGGCAAAAGCUGGAGGUGUACAGAAGUGUACUGCUCCCAUGACUCUCCCACCACCUUGCAUCGGGAAGGGUCGAGAAUUGGUCCCUCUACGACCUGAACGUCGCCUACCGCCGCGUGGGAGGACUUGGAGUUCUCCCUCUCACAGACGAGGCUGAAAAUUGGACCCUGGCCCGAGCACUGCAACUCCUAGAUAGCAAAGACAAGAACGUCAGCGAAGUGGCAAUGGCACAACUAGAAGAAACCAUCAAAUUGGGAUACGGCAGGAACGAAGUUCCAUUUCCAUUUCCCAUUAACGAGUACUUGGCAGGUUCCAUGGAAAAGGGACUUGGAGCAAUCCGACAUGGAGGAGCAUCGAUGAACCUUUGGACCCGCGCAAGGAAGGCCUCGGGCUAUUUGAAGAGGAUAAGGAUUGAUGUAUCCGGCGAAGAGUACAACAAAGUUAUCGCCGAUGACAUCUCCACAAUCUCCAUCAAGACAGUCAGAGGACUCCGGACCGCGAUGAGGCAAAGGUGGACCAACAGACUCCUGUCAGCUCAACAAGGAAAGACGGCAACUGGAUUAGCUCUUGACAUGGCUAAGGAGAACGCAGGUCUCUUAUCAUGCCGAACGCCACUGUCCUUCCAGAAAUGGCACUUUCUCCACAAGCCGAGACUAGGGAUACUUCCAGUCCGAGGUGGCCCAGGAUCAAAGUCGACAGUCAAACCUGUCGACUAGGUUGUACAAAGCUGGAAACCACAGCCCAUGUUGUUUGUGGGUGCUAGGUAAACUCCACUCUUUCUAUUAAUCGUCAUAAUUCUAUCUUAGGACUGAUGGCGGAAGAAACGGAGAAACUUGGCCACACCGUCUCCGUCAACCUCUCCGUGGACAACUCCGGACUCAGACCAGACCUGGUGGUCACUUCCACCAACCCUUCCAUCAUCAUCGACGUCACGGUUUCACUCAGCAGCGCGGAUGGACUCGAGAAGGGACAGGCAAGGAAAAUUGAAAAGUACAAACACCUUGGUGUGGUACUCCCUCUCGUGGUUGGUUCGCUAGGGUCCUGGCUUCCAAGCAACGAUGAGAUAUGUCUUGCCCUGGGAUUCUCGGGUAGAAAAUGGCUGAACCUCAAGAAGAAGAUAAAACUACUGGCCAUCCAAGGAACAACCCAAAUCAUAGCCAAACCCCUGGCAUACCAGACCGAAGCAAGCGAUCCCGAACCCGAAGAAGAAGAAGAAUAAAAGGGCGCAAGUCCUCCCUCUUCCUCAAACUAAGGGUUUUUUAACGUAGCGUUGACACGUCGUCUCGCGUACUUUUUCCCUUAAAACUCAAUUAAUAUAAAUCAUUGUAUAUAUGUUUAUUCUCAGUCCUUUAGAAAAUACAAUGCAAAAAAUCUGU